rnacentral:rRNA from 1 species
UACGUAGGGGGCUAGCGUUGUCCGGAUUUAUUGGGCGUAAAGAGCGUGUAGGCGGCCAUGUAGGUCCGGUGUGAAAACUCGAGGCUUAACCUCGAGAUGUCAUCGGAAACCAUUUGGCUAGAGUCCGGAAGAGGAGAGUGGAAUUCCUGGUGUGAGCGGUGAAAUGCGCAGAUAUCAGGAGGAACACCGAUGGCGAAGGCAGGUCUCUGGGCUAGAACUGACGCUCAUGCACGAAAGCGUGGGGAGCAAACAGG